GCCUGAUUAGCAUAGUGGCUAAUGCGUUGCACUUGUAUCAAAAAGCCCCUCUUUCUCGAGAGGGGCCGCUUCCGACGACAUGCAAAGAUCACAGGUUCGAUUCCUGUAUUAGGCA